AUUGAACGCCGGCGGCAGGCCUAACACAUGCAAGUCGAGCGAGCGGAGGACGGGUGAGUAACGUCUGGGAAACUGCCUGAUGGAGGGGGAUAACUACUGGAAACGGUUGCUAAUACCGCAUACCAUCAGAUGUGCCCCGGUGGGAUUAGCUAUUAGGUGGGGUAACGGCUCACAUAGGCGACGAUCCCUAGCUGGUCUGAGAGGAUGACAAGCCACACUGUAACCUAGACACGGCCCAGACGCCGUAGAUAGGCAGCAGUGGGGUUUAUUACAGAAUGGGAGCAAGCCUGAAGCAGGCAUGCCGCGUGUGUGAUGAAGGCCUUAGUGUUGUACAACACUUUCAGCGGGGGGGUGUUACCCUCAGAAGAAGCACGGGCUAACUCGGUGCCAGCGGCCGCGGUAAUAC
rnacentral:rRNA from 1 species